rnacentral:rRNA from 1 species
UGACCUCAAAUCAGGUAGGACGACCCGCUGAA